rnacentral:rRNA from 1 species
GUCUAAGGCAAUACCACCCUGCACGCACCCGAUCUCGUCUGAUCUUGGAAGCUAAGCAGGGUCAGGCCUGGUCAGUACUUGGCUGGGAGACGGCAUUCAGCUUCUUGUGUUUGUAGCACUGAGGCUCUUGGCU